rnacentral:misc_RNA from 1 species
CCUAGAGUUGUAGGCUUUGCCUGCUAUCUCUUACCCAUGUCUUUUGAGUACCUUACGUUUCCUCGGUGGGUUCGCCCACCGAUUGGACAAAUUUAAACCCUUUGCAGUUGAAAUCAGCGUCUGAAAAAAACUUAAUAGUUA